AACGAACGCUGGCGGCGUGGAUAAGACAUGCAAGUCGAACGGGACUAAAUCUGUAGCAAUACAGGUUUAGUUUAGUGGCGAACGGGUGCGUAACACGUGGGCAAUCUGCCGAGAAGUGGGGGAUAGCUCGCCGAAAGGCGAAUUAAUACCGCAUAUGAUCAGCUAAGACAUCUUAGCGACAUCAAAGCCGGGGCAACCUGGCGCUUCUUGAUGAGCCCGCGGCCUAUCAGCUAGUUGGUGAGGUAACGGCUCACCAAGGCUAUGACGGGUAGCUGGUCUGAGAGGACGACCAGUCACACUGGAACUGAGACACGGUCCAGACACCUACGGGUGCAGCAGUCGAGAAUUUUUCNCAAUGGGGCAACCCUGAAGGAGCGACGCCGCGUGGAGGAUGAAGG
rnacentral:rRNA from 1 species